rnacentral:rRNA from 1 species
GAUGAACGCUGGCGGCGUGCUUAACACAUGCAAGUCGAACGAAGCACUUUAUUUGAUUUCCUUCGGGACUGAUUAUUUUGUGACUGAGUGGCGGACGGGUGAGUAACGCGUGGGUAACCUGCCUUGUACAGGGGGAUAACAGUUGGAAACGGCUGCUAAUACCGCAUAAGCGCACGGCAUCGCAUGAUGCAGUGUGAAAAACUCCGGUGGUACAAGAUGGACCCGCGUUGGAUUAGCUAGUUGGUGAGGUAACGGCCCACCAAGGCGACGAUCCAUAGCCGACCUGAGAGGGUGACCGGCCACAUUGGGACUGAGACACGGCCCAAACUCCUACGGGAGGCAGCAGUGGGGAAUAUUGCACAAUGGGCGAAAGCCUGAUGCAGCGACGCCGCGUGAGCGAAGAAGUAUUUCGGUAUGUAAAGCUCUAUCAGCAGGGAAGAUAAUGACGGUACCUGACUAAGAAGCACCGGCUAAAUACGUG